GCCCUCGUAGCUCAGCCGGAUAGAGCAACGGAUUUCUAAUCCGUAGGCCACAGGUUCGAAUCCUGUCGAGGGUACAA
rnacentral:tRNA from 1 species